rnacentral:tRNA from 1 species
AUUAAAGUAGUAGAAAUAUAUUACAUCUUCCUUCCAAGAAGAAAAUCUGAGUAGAUCAGCUUUGAUA